ACGUGAGCGGCGGGAGGGGGAGGGCCCAGCAUCGGGCGCUGGUAGAGGGGUUCCCAACAUGUCGGUGCUGCUGGUUGCGUUCGGACUACGCGAGCGGGCGGCUGUUGCGGCGGGAGGAGGCCAACCAGGAGCGCCCGCAGCGUGAGCCCCAGCCAGCCACUCCCCGCACCGGGCCAGGCCGGCCCUCGGACACCGGGGCACAAACACUGCCCGCGGCCAGGAAAUUUCAAAAUAAAGCAGAUGUUGCAUCGUGCACUGGUAUCUCAAGGUUUUCCAACUUACUCUGUUCUGUACGUGUUGGCAGGAGGAAUGUAAACCUAAUGUUCUAGAUUAAUGCUGGAAGAAUUGGCUAGAGGUGCAGUUAACAGAUUCAAUAUUAAAUAAACAUGGGUGCAUUCUUGGAUAAACCAAAAACUGAUAAACAUAAUGCUCAUGGUGCAGGGAAUGGCUUGCGUUACGGCCUCAGCAGUAUGCAGGGAUGGAGAGUGGAAAUGGAAGAUGCUCACACAGCUGUUGUAGGUAUUCCCCAUGGCCUAGAAGACUGGUCCUUUUUUGCUGUCUAUGAUGGUCAUGCAGGAUCUCGUGUGGCAAAUUACUGUUCAACACAUUUAUUAGAACACAUCACCAACAAUGAUGAUUUUAGGGCGUCAGAAAAACCAGGAUCAGCUCUUGAGCCUUCAGUGGAAAAUGUCAAGAGCGGAAUCAGAACUGGCUUUUUGAAAAUUGAUGAAUAUAUGCGCAAUUUUUCUGACCUCAGAAAUGGAAUGGACAGGAGUGGCUCAACAGCAGUGGGAGUUAUGAUUUCGCAUGAGCAUAUAUAUUUUAUCAACUGUGGUGAUUCACGUGCUGUUCUCUAUAGAAAUGGACAAGUGUGUUUUUCAACACAGGAUCACAAACCUUGCAACCCAAGGGAGAAGGAGCGAAUCCAGAAUGCAGGAGGUAGUGUAAUGAUUCAGCGUGUUAAUGGUUCGUUGGCAGUUUCUCGAGCUCUGGGCGACUAUGACUACAAAUGUGUUGAUGGCAAAGGCCCUACAGAACAGCUUGUUUCUCCAGAGCCUGAGGUUUAUGAAAUUUUAAGAGCAGAAGAGGAUGAAUUUAUCAUCUUAGCUUGUGAUGGAAUCUGGGAUGUAAUGAGUAAUGAAGAGCUCUGUGAAUUUGUUAAGUCUAGGCUUGAAGUAUCAGAUGACCUGGAAAAAGUGUGCAAUUGGGUGGUCGAUACUUGUUUACAUAAGGGAAGUCGUGAUAACAUGAGUAUUGUACUAGUUUGUUUUUCAAAUGCCCCUAAGGUCUCAGAUGAGGCAGUGAAAAAGGAUGCUGAGCUGGAUAAGCACUUGGAAUCACGGGUUGAAGAAAUUAUGGAGAAGUCGGGUGAGGAAGGAAUGCCUGAUCUUGCUCAUGUAAUGCGCAUUUUAUCUGCAGAGAAUAUCCCAAAUUUACCACCUGGGGGUGGUCUAGCGGGCAAGCGUAAUAUUAUAGAAGCUGUGUAUAACAGGCUGAAUCCACACAGAGAGAAUGAUGGGGUAAGUUUUACUUUGGGGUCUUAGACUUCACUAAUAAUGAGCAAACCAUAAUACUUCAAUGCAGGUGGGGUACAGAACAAAAUUUAAGUAACCUGUAUUUAAGUAUAUAUGUGUUUAAAUAUUUGAUAUAUAUUUUGAUUGUACAUCACUGUUCAAGAACUUUAUUAUUAAAGGGACAGUGAUUUGUGUAUGAUACCUAGUUCUGAUUGAUUGAUUAAUUUUUAAUAUAAAUGGCUGCUUCUGCUUUUCAUUCAAGACCAUGGAGCCACUUACUUUAGGAGCUGUUGGUAGUUUAAAUGUACUCUGACUUUGAAGUAAGUAAUGAGAUUGAAAUUUUGUUACAUGUCCUGUACUUGAAAAUCUAGUGUCAAAUUCUGUGUCCUUGUAAGAAUCAUAUUCAUGUAGAAAAUUUCUGUUGAGUGUGCACUAAGUGAAACGGGUCAUGUUAGUGAUACUGGCUAUGCUUUUUUAGUAUGUUGCACAGAUGAUUCCAGUGAAGAUUACUGUAUUUCAGUUUUGAAGGUCUUUUGUGAAAUGGCCUAGAACCAGUAUAAUUUACACUUGAAUGAAAGUAACAAGUUUUGUUCAUUCCUGAUUUAAUUUUUUAAAUGAAUUAUUUACACCAAUCUGUCCAACUCCUGGACAGUUGAGCUUUCAAAUCUUUAAACAUUAAAUUACACACAAAAAAUACAACACUAUGAAAUACAGUGGGUUGCUGUACCUGUUGAAAUUACUACGUUACUGGAUUGAGUAAGGAAUAAAUGUGAAAUUUCCAACUUACACUUUUUUAACAUCUGUUUUACAAAGUAAUUGUAGCAGUCAUUCUGUGUCAGUCAGCUCCAUAGUGACAGAUUGGUUUAGAGACUUCGUGUCUAGGAGACUAACAAUUUUUUUUUUUUUACUUGUUUAGAUAGUAACUUUUAAAAGGCGGAUAACUUCUCAUUACUUCGCGAAAUGUUGCCUUGUACCGAUAGGGUUCACUCCCUAAGCUAAUUUGUAGAGUUCUCUAAAUGGUCCCCAGGAACCAUGCAUGCAUGAGAUGCCUAAAAACAAUUCAGUUGGCAAGUGAAGGCUCUGGUGAGAGGGUGGGUAGGGAUGUCAGAUUUUAUUUAUUUAUUUUAGCUACUUUGAAAUUAUUCUGAAUCUAGUUGUGCAUAUAACUAGCCUCUGUAAUUACAUUACCUUAUUGUUAUCACUGUCUUUCUUGCCUCAUUCCAUCUACUUCCCUUCUGUUGGCUGUUAUCUUGAUAUGAUGUGUUGUCUUAAGAGUGCAUGUGCAAUUGCUAUGUUGGCAGCUGUAUGCCAGCAAUAAAGUUACUGUAAAACUUUCUUGUGUAGAUAUGGCCUUAGAUUGCAAGCUCUUCAGGGCAGGAACUGUCUUUCUAUGUGUUUUUAUAGAGCCUAGCACAGUUGGAGGUCUUGAUUCUGAUUUGUGCCUUUGUGUGCUAUCACAAUACAGAUAAAUAGCUAAUGGUUUCAUUGUCACAUCUGUCUUUUUAAAAAUUAAAAUUUGUGGUUUAUAUUUUUUUUGUCUUGGAUCAUAAAGGUUAUAGUUAAAUUUUACAUCCUUAACCCCUUCAAAGUGUGCCAAAGUUCCUUCCAAAAUAUCCUGAAAAUAUCCUCAGUCCUGCAAGUAACUCUGUGCAUCCACCCAACCCACCAUGACUCCUAACAGUUGGAAUACUACAUUUUCUCUGUGCCUCAGUGUCUUUUUACCCACUUCCAAAAAUGGAAAUGUUUAGGAUUAAUUAAAGCACUCAAUUCAGAACAUUUGCAAUGAAAAGAAAAAAUCUGGCUCCUCUGUCAGAUAAUUAUAAAUGCCUGAUGAUGCUGCUGCAUAUUUGUGACAGAGAAAGACUUUCAAAGGAAAACACAAAGGACCAAAUUGUUAUAAUUUAUGUAGCUCCACAAAGGUAAAAACCACAGUAACCAAAUAUGUUAAGUAUUCUCUUAGCUACUUAUGAAUCUCAGGAAAUGUCUUGGACCUGCUUCAUUAGUGCUUAAAUAUUAUCUAUUUGUAUUUUAUUAAACUAAUUGUUUAAUUCUUAACAAAUGCAGAUCUGGCGGGCAUAGUAAAAACAAAGGGAGGGCAGGCUUACUAUUAAAGGUUAUAUUUACACUGAAUACCGUAUUAUGCAAAAAAAAAAAUGUGGACAAAAAGGCAAUGUACUUUUUGAGCUAUGUAAAUAUAGUUAUGUUUUCUGCAGAAUUUAAUUAAAUCCCUAUAGUAAGGAAAAUCUCUGUGAUGUUUGAGUAUUGGAGGAUGGCUGAUAGCCCAAGAGGUCACUUAGACCUGAGACUGCAGUUUAAUGCAUCAGCCACACUAGGUAAAGGAUCGGGUUUGAUCCUCUGAUAGGAAUAUCUACUUCAUUUGGCAACAGCAUUAUUUCCCUUCUCUGUCCUUGGCUCAUAUGUCCCAGAAGGACUUAAAGGGAGGAGAAAAUUCAGUGCUGCCAGAGCUGACACCUCUUCAUAGUACCUCAGUAGAGGAAAGGUACUUAUUUUCCUUUCUCCUUAAGAGAUUCUGAGUCUAGUAGUUCAUGUGCUGUGCUGAACCUGAUAGUCUAGGUCAGUGUUUCGCAACCUUUUUGAUACCAGGGACUGACUUGCUGCCUUCCUAAACCGUGUCAGGCAGGGACGAACUCUGGUUCAUGGGCCGGUCAUUGAGAAACACUGCUCUAGGUCACUGUUAAACUCACUCCCCAAGCCACUGGACUGUCCUUCAGUCUCCUGAGCUUGAUGUUUAGACAAGAAAACUGAAGAAGGAAUAAUUCCAUUAUUAGUUAAAAUGCUUCUGUUCUUCUCUAUAUUGUGAUAGCAUAACUAGAGUGCCCCUACAAACCUGCGUUCAAUCAGAUACCAAAGCAGAAGGUGGAUACAUACAACGCACCCAGUUGGUGGGGCUUGUAAAGUGCGUUUCAAAAUGAAAUAUCACAAUGCUCCUAGUACAAGUCAUGUUAUAGCAAAAGCAGAGCUUUAUAUUAAAAAUUAUGGGCCAGAUCCACAGCUAGUGUUAAUUUGCAGUCUGGAGCUGCACUGAUUUUACACUGCUGAGAGUCUGACCCUAUUUUUGUGAACUGUGUUCUUAUAUAUACUAAGAAAAAUGUUUACAUCUGUUUAAUAUUUUUCUAUAUGCAAUAUCGCUGUAACAAUAUUUGAAAUUCCUUACUUAUGACAACAUUCAGAAAUCUUCAAUCAUUCAUUUAGUGAUACGUAAUAUAUUUAUCAACAUUCCAUAUAAUUAAUUUAUACUGUAUUGAUAGUCAUUAUAUAUAGAUAUGAUUUGCAUUGCAUAUUUCAACAAAAUAUAUGGUAUGGGAUAAAACCUGAACUGAUGAAAUUAUAAAGUAAAAGGUAUUUAUAUGAUUUUUUGCAGUUGAGUGGAUGUCUAGGUUGUAACAAUAUACUGUAGUGUGAACAGCUUAAAUAAAAAAAGUAAUCUUCAUUUGAUGACAAUGAUCUUUAUAGCUUGAUGAAUCAAGAAUUUUCAGAAAGCAUCUUUUAUCAAUUUUUUUCAGAAUACAAAUUUAUUUAUAUUUCUCACAACUAUAUUUUAUUUUAUUCACAACAACUUUUAUUUAAAUUGUAGUCAAGCUCAAGAAUUUUGUCCUCGGGUCUAGUGCACUUUCUGUGGUAACUAUUUAAUUUCUGAAAUAUAUUUGUUAAAUAAUAACUUAGGAGCAAAUCCUUAACACAGUGCACAGCCUAUAUAUGUUUACACUGUACUGGAAGAGAUCUGUGGAGGAAGGAAUCCUCCCUGUAAUGUUGCAGAGUUGUUUUGUGGGUGGUAUUGGAGCCUCCAAGAUGCAGUAGUCACUGGACUCCUGUGCACUCUUACGUGGUAUGGAGUGGAGUAGUUAGGAUCUCUGGCUCAUUACUGAUCCCUAGAGGCAUGUCUGGUUACCAGGAUCCCCUGUGUAGCACUCUUGUGUAGUAAUUCCACCAUUUCUGCUGUAGACAAGGAUCCCCAUAGAUAGGAAGGCAGAGACAAGAUCUGCUCCUUAAUAGCGCUAUAA